UGCAGUGCACAAUUAUUAUUAUUUGCGUUGACAAUUUUUAAUAGCGAUGUGAGUAUCGAUAAUCAACUAUAUUCGAUUGACAUAUCGAUAUUCAAUACCAAGAAUUUAUGAAAAAGUGGCUUAACUCUUAGGAGUCGAAACUUGUCCAAAUUGUUGACUUCUCCUUCAUCUCCGAUCUAAUAUUUAUCAUAGCUUGCAAAUUACAGUUGGUCGCCUUAUUCUCUACGUUCACAUCUUCACACUCACUCGCUCUCGCUCAGAGCAAAGGAUUUUGAUUCUUUUCUAUUUCGUCUUCUGCUGAGCGCCUUGAGUGGAACUGGUGCUGUGUAUUUUCUCCAUUUUCAAAUGCUUAGCGGGACGAUCAGGAGCUUUACUGCACUGCACGACUGACCCCCACCAGGCCCGGGCGACUGAAGAAAUGCUGCAGCUGCUGCCCUUUAUAUACGACUUUCACUCAUACACUCAAACGUGCUUAAAUUCUGGGCCCGGUGCCAGGUAGAGGUCGUUUCAGUUGAGCCUCAACUGACCAAUGGGAACGCUCUCUGCUGCUUCAAGCACUCUUACUUCGUUUUACUUGAAUAUAAAUACUCAAUGAAUACAGCUGCAUGCAUAUAGACAACUUAA